rnacentral:rRNA from 17 species
GGGUUGUGAGGUUAAGCGACUAAGCGUACACGGUGGAUGCCCUGGCAGUCAGAGGCGAUGAAGGACGUGCUAAUCUGCGAUAAGCGUCGGUAAGGUGAUAUGAACCGUUAUAACCGGCGAUUUCCGAAUGGGGAAACCCAGUGUGUUUCGACACACUAUCAUUAACUGAAUCCAUAGGUUAAUGAGGCGAACCGGGGGAACUGAAACAUCUAAGUACCCCGAGGAAAAGAAAUCAACCGAGAUUCCCCCAGUAGCGGCGAGCGAACGGGGAGCAGCCCAGAGCCUGAAUCAGUGUGUGUGUUAGUGGAAGCGUCUGGAAAGGCGCGCGAUACAGGGUGACAGCCCCGUACACAAAAAUGCACAUACUGUGAGCUCGAUGAGUAGGGCGGGACACGUGGUAUCCUGUCUGAAUAUGGGGGGACCAUCCUCCAAGGCUAAAUACUCCUGACUGACCGAUAGUGAACCAGUACCGUGAGGGAAAGGCGAAAAGAACCCCGGCGAGGGGAGUGAAAAAGAACCUGAAACCGUGUACGUACAAGCAGUGGGAGCACGCUUAGGCGUGUGACUGCGUACCUUUUGUAUAAUGGGUCAGCGACUUAUAUUCUGUAGCAAGGUUAACCGAAUAGGGGAGCCGAAGGGAAACCGAGUCUUAACUGGGCGUUAAGUUGCAGGGUAUAGACCCGAAACCCGGUGAUCUAGCCAUGGGCAGGUUGAAGGUUGGGUAACACUAACUGGAGGACCGAACCGACUAAUGUUGAAAAAUUAGCGGAUGACUUGUGGCUGGGGGUGAAAGGCCAAUCAAACCGGGAGAUAGCUGGUUCUCCCCGAAAGCUAUUUAGGUAGCGCCUCGUGAAUUCAUCUCCGGGGGUAGAGCACUGUUUCGGCAAGGGGGUCAUCCCGACUUACCAACCCGAUGCAAACUGCGAAUACCGGAGAAUGUUAUCACGGGAGACACACGGCGGGUGCUAACGUCCGUCGUGAAGAGGGAAACAACCCAGACCGCCAGCUAAGGUCCCAAAGUCAUGGUUAAGUGGGAAACGAUGUGGGAAGGCCCAGACAGCCAGGAUGUUGGCUUAGAAGCAGCCAUCAUUUAAAGAAAGCGUAAUAGCUCACUGGUCGAGUCGGCCUGCGCGGAAGAUGUAACGGGGCUAAACCAUGCACCGAAGCUGCGGCAGCGACGCUGAUGCGUUGUUGGGUAGGGGAGCGUUCUGUAAGCCUGCGAAGGUGUGCUGUGAGGCAUGCUGGAGGUAUCAGAAGUGCGAAUGCUGACAUAAGUAACGAUAAAGCGGGUGAAAAGCCCGCUCGCCGGAAGACCAAGGGUUCCUGUCCAACGUUAAUCGGGGCAGGGUGAGUCGACCCCUAAGGCGAGGCCGAAAGGCGUAGUCGAUGGGAAACAGGUUAAUAUUCCUGUACUUGGUGUUACUGCGAAGGGGGGACGGAGAAGGCUAUGUUGGCCGGGCGACGGUUGUCCCGGUUUAAGCGUGUAGGCUGGUUUUCCAGGCAAAUCCGGAAAAUCAAGGCUGAGGCGUGAUGACGAGGCACUACGGUGCUGAAGCAACAAAUGCCCUGCUUCCAGGAAAAGCCUCUAAGCAUCAGGUAACAUCAAAUCGUACCCCAAACCGACACAGGUGGUCAGGUAGAGAAUACCAAGGCGCUUGAGAGAACUCGGGUGAAGGAACUAGGCAAAAUGGUGCCGUAACUUCGGGAGAAGGCACGCUGAUAUGUAGGUGAAGCGACUUGCUCGUGGAGCUGAAAUCAGUCGAAGAUACCAGCUGGCUGCAACUGUUUAUUAAAAACACAGCACUGUGCAAACACGAAAGUGGACGUAUACGGUGUGACGCCUGCCCGGUGCCGGAAGGUUAAUUGAUGGGGUCAGCGCAAGCGAAGCUCUUGAUCGAAGCCCCGGUAAACGGCGGCCGUAACUAUAACGGUCCUAAGGUAGCGAAAUUCCUUGUCGGGUAAGUUCCGACCUGCACGAAUGGCGUAAUGAUGGCCAGGCUGUCUCCACCCGAGACUCAGUGAAAUUGAACUCGCUGUGAAGAUGCAGUGUACCCGCGGCAAGACGGAAAGACCCCGUGAACCUUUACUAUAGCUUGACACUGAACAUUGAGCCUUGAUGUGUAGGAUAGGUGGGAGGCUUUGAAGUGUGGACGCCAGUCUGCAUGGAGCCGACCUUGAAAUACCACCCUUUAAUGUUUGAUGUUCUAACGUUGACCCGUGAUCCGGGUUGCGGACAGUGUCUGGUGGGUAGUUUGACUGGGGCGGUCUCCUCCUAAAGAGUAACGGAGGAGCACGAAGGUUGGCUAAUCCUGGUCGGACAUCAGGAGGUUAGUGCAAUGGCAUAAGCCAGCUUGACUGCGAGCGUGACGGCGCGAGCAGGUGCGAAAGCAGGUCAUAGUGAUCCGGUGGUUCUGAAUGGAAGGGCCAUCGCUCAACGGAUAAAAGGUACUCCGGGGAUAACAGGCUGAUACCGCCCAAGAGUUCAUAUCGACGGCGGUGUUUGGCACCUCGAUGUCGGCUCAUCACAUCCUGGGGCUGAAGUAGGUCCCAAGGGUAUGGCUGUUCGCCAUUUAAAGUGGUACGCGAGCUGGGUUUAGAACGUCGUGAGACAGUUCGGUCCCUAUCUGCCGUGGGCGCUGGAGAACUGAGGGGGGCUGCUCCUAGUACGAGAGGACCGGAGUGGACGCAUCACUGGUGUUCGGGUUGUCAUGCCAAUGGCACUGCCCGGUAGCUAAAUGCGGAAGAGAUAAGUGCUGAAAGCAUCUAAGCACGAAACUUGCCCCGAGAUGAGUUCUCCCUGACUCCUUGAGAGUCCUGAAGGAACGUUGAAGACGACGACGUUGAUAGGCCGGGUGUGUAAGCGCAGCGAUGCGUUGAGCUAACCGGUACUAAUGAACCGUGAGGCUUAACCUUACAACGCCGAAGCUGUU